rnacentral:misc_RNA from 1 species
CGAUGCCCUCCGACUCCAC